UCGAUCCCAUCAAACCACCACUGCUCUUAGGUCAAUCUACAAGCAUGUGUAUCUGCAUCAAAUGCGGGUGCUUUAGCUGCAAAAAUGAAAGCCCCGCUGGGAAGAAAGAAGAAGAAGAAGAAGCCGACUUUCUUGACGUUAUGCUCGCAGUCUUUCUGCCCCCUGUUGCCAUUUAUAAGAAGCAAAAACGUUGUACGGGCAAACUGUGGGUAAAUAUAUUUCUCACGGUAUCAGGAUAUGUGCCGGGGAGCAUCCACGCUGCCAUGUUCAUAACGAACUGAAGGCGAUGGACUCGAUCGGAUGGUCCUUUAAUUGUAUUACUACUGUCAAUCUGCUUGACAAGGGGCAGGUGAAUAAAAUUUAUGCUGUGCUCUGUUGUGUUUGAAUGAAUCCUAGUUUGUUAUUUUCUCUAA